rnacentral:misc_RNA from 1 species
GAUGAAGAACGCAGCGAAAAGCGAUACGUAAUGUGAAUUGCAGAAUUCAGUGAAUCAUCGAGUCUUUGAACGCACAUUGCGCCCCCUGGUAUUCCGGGGGGCAUGCCUGUCCGAGCGUCAUUGCUGCCCUCAAGCACGGCUUGUGUGUUGGGCCUCCGUCCUCCUCCCGGGGGACGGGCCCGAAAGGCGGCGGCGGCACCGCGUCCGGUCCUCGAGCGUAUGGGGCUUCGUCACCCGCUCUUGUAGGCCCGGCCGGCGCUUGCCGACACAUCAAUCUUUUUUCCAGGUUGACCUCGGAUCAGGUAGGGAUACCCGCUGAACUUAAGCAUAUCAAUAAGCGGAGGA